UUAAUGAGAGUUUGAUCCUGGCUCAGGACGAACGCUGGCGGCGUGCCUAAUACAUGCAAGUAGAACGCUGAGGACUGGUGCUUGCACCGGUCCAAGGAGUUGCGAACGGGAGAGUAACGCGCAGGUAACCUACCUCAUAGCGGGGGAUAACUAUUGGAAACGAUAGCUAAUACCGCAUACAAGUGUUUAACCCAUGUUAAACAUUUAAAAGGUUCAAUUGCAUCACUAUGAGAUGGACCUGCGUUGUAUUAGCUAGUUGGUGAGGUAACGGCUCACCAAGGCGACGAUACAUAGCCGACCUGAGAGGGUGAUCGGCCACACUGGGAUUGAGACACGGCCCAGACUCCUACGGGAGGCAGCAGUAGGGAAUCUUCGGCAAUGGACGGAAGUCUGACCGAGCAACGCCGCGUGAGUGAAGAAGGUUUUCGGAUCGUAAAGCU
rnacentral:rRNA from 1 species